UUUCAGGACGAGCCUCUGACUGUCAGAAGUAAAGGUAAUGAAUGAAUGGACUGGUACUUGACAGUGACUUCAGGAAGGGAGGUUUUCAGGACGAGCCUCUGACUGUCAGAAGUAAAGGUAAUGAAUGAAUGGACUGGGACUUGACAGUGCCUUCAGGAAGGGAGGUUUUCAGGACGAGCCUCUGACUGUCAGAAGUAAAGGUAAUGAAUGAAUGGACUGGGACUUGACAGUGACUUCAGGAAGGGAGGUUUUCAGGACGAGCCUCUGACUGUCAGAAGUAAAGGUAAUGAAUGAAUGGACUGGGACUUGACAGUGACUUCAGGAAGGGAGGUUUUCAGGACGAGCCUCUGACUGUCAGAAGUAAAGGUAAUGAAUGAAUGGACUGGGACUUGACAGUGACUUCAGGAAGGGAGGUUUUCAGGACGAGCCUCUGACU